rnacentral:misc_RNA from 1 species
AAGUCGUAACAAGGUAACCGUAGGUGAACCUGCGGUUGGAUCAUUUCCGAUCUGUGCCCCGACAAGGGGCCGAUCUACAACUGCGCACGGUAAUUCGUGUUUGGCAGUCUAAGGGAGGGACGAGAUCCGCGUCGCGGGUCUCCACCUUCCGGGACUCUUGUCCGGGCUGCCGCGUAACUAGACCACUGUCAGUUUUGGCUGAUCGUCACUCUGUGAUAAAUCUGAAACAACUUUCGACAAUGGAUCUCUUGGCUCUC